rnacentral:rRNA from 1 species
CUACGGGUUGCUCCAGUUAGGAAUAUUCUACAAUGCGCGUAAGCGUGAUAGAUUGAGCCAGAGUGCUUUCCAAAUUGGAAAGCUUUUGUGAAAUGCAAAAAGUUUCACGAAUAAGGACUGGGUAAGACUAGUGCCAGCCGCCGCGGUAAUACUAGCGGUCCAGGUCGCAGCCAUUUUUAUUGGGUCUAAAACAUCCGUAGCUUGCUUGAUAAGUUCCUUGUGAAAUCUCAUGUCUUAAGCAUGGGGCGAGCAAGGAGUACUGUUAAGCUAGAGACUGGGAGGCGUAGGAAGUAUGGUCAAAGUAGCGGUAAAAUGCGUUAAUCUUGAACAGACUCACAACAGCGAAGGCAUCCUACGAGGACAGUUCUGACAGUCAGGGAUGAAGGCUAGGGGCGUGAAAAGGAUUAGAUACCCUCGUAGUC